rnacentral:lncRNA from 1 species
GUUCCGAAAAAUAUUGGUUGUCCGGAAAAUUUUUUUGACUCCUAAAAUGGUACACUGACCGAAAUUUUUUUGGGGGGUCGACCCCCGGGCAACUCACGGGCAACCCCCGGGCAUGGCACGGAAUUUGUUUUAAAAUCACGCCCCGGAGACCCGGGAUUUAGCCUACAUUUGUAUUUUGAAAAUUAACCCCGGGGGCAAACGCCCGGGAUUUGCAUAUGGACUGCUGCUAUAUCGGUCAGCGGUGAUUCAUCAAAAAAUUCUUAAUUAUGAUUUUUGAAGACGCUUCGAACCUUCGAAGUUCGAAGCAAAUUCGAAGCAUUUCGAAGCACAUGAACAAUAUACCGUUG